rnacentral:rRNA from 1 species
UACGAGGGGAGCUAGCGUUAUUCGGAAUUACUGGGCGUAAAGCGCACGUAGGCGGCUUUGUAAGUUAGAGGUGAAAGCCCAGAGCUCAACUCUGGAAUUGCCUUUAAGACUGCAUCGCUUGAAUCCAGGAGAGGUGAGUGGAAUUCCGAGUGUAGAGGUGAAAUUCGUAGAUAUUCGGAAGAACACCAGUGGCGAAGGCGGCUCACUGGACUGGUAUUGACGCUGAGGUGCGAAAGCGUGGGGAGCAAACAGGAUUAGAAACCCCCGUAGUCC